GCCUGAUGCAGCAACGCCGCGUGAGGGACGACGGCCUUCGGGUUGUAAACCUCUUUUAGCAGGGAAGAAGCGAAAGUGACGGUACCUGCAGAAAAAGCGCCGGCUAACUACGUGCCAGCAGCCGCGGUAAUACGUAGGGCGCAAGCGUUAUCCGGAAUUAUUGGGCGUAAAGAGCUCGUAGGCGGUCUGUCGCGUCUGCUGUGAAAACCCGAGGCUCAACCUCGGGCCUGCAGUGGGUACGGGCAGACUAGAGUGCGGUAGGGGAGAUUGGAAUUCCUGGUGUAGCGGUGGAAUGCGCAGAUAUCAGGAGGAACACCGAUGGCGAAGGCAGAUCUCUGGGCCGUAACUGACGCUGAGGAGCGAAAGGGUGGGGAGCAAACAGGCUUAGAUACCCUGGUAGUCCACCCCGUAAACGUUGGGAACUAGUUGU
rnacentral:rRNA from 1 species